rnacentral:rRNA from 1 species
AGGUAAAGCAAGAAAGGGCGUAUGGGGAAUGCCUAGGCACACUCCGGCGAAGAAGGACGCAGCAAACAGCGAAAUGCGACGGGAAGCGGUAAGCACGCAAAGAUCCGUCGAUAUCCGAAUGGGGGAACCCGCAUGGAGUCAAAUCCAUGGAUCACAUGUUGAAUACAUAGACAUGAUGAGGCGAGACGCAGGGAACUGAAACAUCUAAGUACCUGCAGGAAGAGAAAAUAAGAAUGAUUUUCUGA